rnacentral:lncRNA from 1 species
CUCGGCCGACGAGUUGGCACGCCCCGCAAUCACCGAAGGACGUAGUUAGCUUAUUAAUUACUCGGCCUGCGCGCCACGUAGGCUUUGUAGUUUCUAGGGUCAACAUUUUGGCACGCCCAGUGGGACCCAGUGCUAUACUACGAAGUUCAUAUGAUAUAUCAAGAUUCCAAUCUGGCUCAACGUAGCCGAUUGUACGAGCUCCUGGAGGAAUUGAAAAAACAUAAUGAGGAAUGUAAAAAAUCUUUGGAAGCAGAAAAAGUUCUUCGUGGCCAUAGAGAGAUGCAAAAGUCAUUCGCUUGCAUGUUGAAAAUAAAAGCUCCUGUUAUCCUACAAGGGCAAUGGGUAAAUGCAGACAAGGCUCGAUUUAAUGCCUGGCUAGAUGAAGAAAAUUUUCCUUACGUUUCUGACUACAGAUCAAUUCCAUUUGAAAAAUGGUUAGGCCCAAAGGCUGGGGGGCAAUUUUUCGCUUCGGCCGUAAUCAGACAUCGGCCUAAGAAAAUUGUUAAUUUGGCCGAAGAACAAAAGCCACCUAUUGUUUCGGUCGAGACUGAAAGUGUGGUAGGCCUAGAAGAAAAAAUUCAAGUUCUUGAGCUAGAUAUAAAAAUUGACUUGGAAAAUGAUUCGUUAGAGGAAUGCUCCAAUGAUGAACGAGGCCAAGAUAUUGGCCUAGGCCAAGAUAUUGGCCUAGCCCAAGAAACUACGCCAAUUGAUAUGAUUAUUGGCAAUAAAGCCGAUAUGGAGAAAUCCUGUUCGGCUAAGUUGUUUGAAUUAAAAGCCGAAAUUAUGCCUGGGGGGCAUAAUAAUUGUUCAACACAUUCGGCGGCUGAGAAUGAAAAAUAUUUCACCAAGUCAAAAAUAUUUUGGAAAAAUUCUUUAUUCGGCCUAGAGCGAAAUCAAUUUGAAAAUUUUGAUGCAAAAAGAUCGCGGUUUAGAAUAAAGCAUCGUUGGCCUCCUCCUGAAUAUGGUUCGGCCACUUUUAUUUCCAUUUAGAAAAAAAAAAUAUUUUCUUAAUCAUCUGGCUACGUAAGCCGAUGCAUAAGAAAAUUUGAGGGGCAACAAGUGGUGUGCUCGGCAAAAGUUUGGUAGUUUUGAAUUUUGGUCGUUUUGUUUUUAGCCGAGCUCGGCAAACAAGCCGACCUGAGAAGAAUUGUUUUCGCUGCUAUCGAUCAUACCAUGCCUAUGGUCAAAAUGUGGGAACAAGUUUCAAAAACAUUUAAUCAGGAAGAUGCUAGGGUCAAAGUUUGGCCGAAUAAAUCUUGGUUGCUGGUUUGAGGUUAUAUAUAUAUAUAUAUAUAUAUAUAUAUAUAGUCAUGAUUGCUGACAGUGGGUUUGAUAUGUAUAUAUAUGUAUGUAUGUGUGUAUAUAUAUAUAUGGUCAUGAUUGCUGACAGUGGGUUUAAUAUGUAUAUAUAUGUAGCCAGGCCGAGCUGCCAAGAAAGACUCUUCUCGACGUCGGCCAAAUUUAUCCUCGACCCCAAUCCCAAUUCUUUUCGACCCUGGUUCAUGAAUAUUUAUUACUUAUCUUCGGCCAUGAGUUGUUCUUUGGUCGAAGGGAGCCGUGAGUGAACAGCAGCAGGGGAUGACGAUCAAAAGUACUUCUGAUUAGGCUGGAGUUACUUAAUUUCCUUAAUCAUUCGGCUUACGAGCCGAAGUUUAAGGAAACUGGGGGGCAAUGUUUGGACCCAAAUUUGCAUCAUCGGCCUGAGUAAUCGAGAUCAUUGAGUAAGCAUACUUCUCAACCGUCGUAUGGAAAGGUAAAAGAUCAUUUUGUUAUUAUUAAAGGAUAAUGUUAUGAUUUUUAUCAUAAUUAUCUUUUAAAUAAUUUAUUAUGGGAGAUCUCCAAACUGGGAACACGGUGGCAUAAUUCGAGUUGAUCUGGAUGAAUAGUAUGCUGCAAAUUGAUUAUUAUAGAUGUGGAUAAAUAUUUUGGUAUAGGCGCCAGAAAUUAGCAUCCCAAGGUGGUGGUUUAAAUGGGGUUUGAAAAGUCAUGGUGAAUGGAGUAGAUAAAUAGUAUGCAAAUGGGAUAAUUAUAAAACCUUUUUGAUGUUGUGGUUUUGGUUACGUAGUGUGCUUUCUAGGAUUAUCAUUAUCCGUGCAUGGAUCAAUGUGAUUGAAGUUAAGCUCUAGUGGACUAGGAGUCUCUGAAGGCACGGUUUUUUAUGGAAGAAAGACUUGGGUUUUGAAUAAAUGAAGCAGUCAGAAGAUGAUGGUAUCUAAAGGAUAGGCUUUCAUUUAGUGAGUUUGAGUUGAAAUCAAAUACUAGCGUGAAGCUGCACCACUCAACAUUUGUUCCUAUAAAUACCAAGCUACAAACAACGGAACAGGCCCCACAAAAUCAAUACAAAAUUGCCCUGCGCAAACUCUCACAACUUGAUCUUUUUUCUUUUCCUUUUUCGCUGACACAUCUUCCGUUGGCAUCAACAGCACUGUGGAAGCACCCGGUGGUAUCUUAAGUCGGCAUAGAUAGCUCUGUCACCGUAGAGUCGGUCGGUCUCGCAGUAUCUUCCGUUGGCAUCAACAGCACUGCGGCGAGAACGGUCGAUUACCUAUCCAAGUCUCGGUCGAUGAGGGUUUUCGAAUCCUUGUUGGUCGAGGUCAUCUCAUUAGCCUUCUCGGCGAGGUGAGGUGUCACAUUUAUUACAUUCGGCACAUUGCAAGCCGAAUUCGGUUCGUGAACUUUGUAAGAAAUAGCAGCCUUGUCUUCAGGCUCGAGAACCCAAGAGGCCGAGACGUGUUCCUUUCUCGGCCACAAUCGCAAGACGCAGAAGUCAGUAGCGCGACUCGACACAGCAUUAUCAAAUUUACUCCUCGGCCGAGCCUCGGCCGACGAGUUGGCACGCCCCGCAAUCACCGAAGGAGGUAGUUAGCUUAUUAAUUACUCGGCCUGCGCGCCACGUAGGCUUUGUAGUUUCUAGGGUCAACAUUUUGGCACGCCCAGUGGGACCCAGUGCUAUACUACGAAGUUCAUAUGAUAUAUCAAGAUUCCAAUCUGGCUCAACGUAGCCGAUUGUACGAGCUCCUGGAGGAAUUGAAAAAACAUAAUGAGGAAUGUAAAAAAUCUUUGGAAGCAGAAAAAGUUCUUCGUGGCCAUAGAGAGAUGCAAAAGUCAUUCGCUUGCAUGUUGAAAAUAAAAGC